AAGUCGUAACAAGGUUUCCGUAGGUGAACCUGCGGAAGGAUCAUUAAAACGUUAACCCCCCUGUGAACCUUUAGUGUGCUCGUCUAGUAACGAGGCAAGUGGCCUGGCAUUCCGAAGCAGUGUCUGAAAGUGUCACUGGCUGUGUAAGGAUGCGCGCAGUCACGAUCGUUGGAGGCCGACACGGCCGACGACCGGGUCACCGCCCCUUAAUCACAACUUAAUGCAUGUCAGGCUUAAUUGUGCGGCGACCAUAAAACUCGAACAACUGUCAACAAUGGAUAUCUUGGUUCUC
rnacentral:misc_RNA from 1 species